GGACUACAGGGGUUUCUAAUCCCAUUUGCUACCCUAGCUUUCGUCUCUGAGUGUUAGUAAUAGCCCAGUAAAGUGCUUUCGCCAUCGGUGUUCUUUCCAAUAUCUACGCAUUUCACCGCUCCACUGGAAAUUCCCUUUACCUCUACUAUACUCUAGUCUAAUAGUUUCGACUGCGAUUUUGAAGUUGAGCCAUCAAGAUUUAACAGUUGACUUAUUAAACCACCUACAGACGCUUUACGCCCAGUGAUUCCGGAUAACACUUGCAUCCUCCGUCUUACCGCGGCUGCUG
rnacentral:misc_RNA from 1 species